rnacentral:rRNA from 1 species
UGGGGAAUAUUGCACAAUGGGCGCAAGCCUGAUGCAGCCAUGCCGCGUGUAUGAAGAAGGCCUUCGGGUUGUAAAGUACUUUCAGCGAGGAGGAAGGCGUUGUGGUUAAUAACCGCAGCGAUUGACGUUACUCGCAGAAGAAGCACCGGCUAACUCCGUGCCAGCAGCCGCGGUAAUACGGAGGGUGCAAGCGUUAAUCGGAAUUACUGGGUGUAAAGCGCACGCAGGCGGUCUGUCAAGUCGGAUGUGAAAUCCCCGGGCUCAACCUGAGAACUGCAUCCGAAACUGGCAGGCUAGAGUCUUGUAGAGGGGGGUAGAAUUCCAGGUGUAGCGGUGAAAUGCGUAGAGAUCUGGAGGAAUACCGGUGGCGAAGGCGGCCCCCUGGACAAAGACUGACGCUCAGGUGCGAAAGCGUGGGGAGCAAACA